CACGUAGGGGGCAAGCGUUGUCCGGAUUUAUUGGGCGUAAAGAGCUCGUAGGCGGUUCGGUAAGUCGGGUGUGAAACCUCCAGGCUCAACCUGGAGACGCCACCCGAUACUGCUGUGACUAGAGUCCGGUAGGGGAGCGUGGAAUUCCUGGUGUAGCGGUGAAAUGCGCAGAUAUCAGGAGGAACACCAGCGGCGAAGGCGGCGCUCUGGGCCGGAACUGACGCUGAGGAGCGAAAGCUAGGGGAGCAAACGGG
rnacentral:rRNA from 1 species